CUUUAUUUAUGGAGAAAAAGUGUAUAAAAUAAAGAAAACAAUAAGUGCAGAUAAAGAAACGUGUUUUGUUAUGGAAACAAAAACUUUUGAUUGCCGUCAAAUUUAGCUCGUGAAACAAUUGAACAUUUUUUUGGCUAUUCCGAAAGCAGAAAAGAAUACCAAAUCUAAGGACAGAAUGUACCUCAAGUGAAAUUUCGUUGCCAUCAAAAAUACAUUGACAUAUCCUAGGAGAAUUUUCGAAAAUUAUUGCUUUGAUAAUGUUUUCACCACGUAAAGUGUUGUACGCACCUCAAACGAAAUAUUCGAUUGUAGCCAAGGCAUUUACGUACGACUCUAAUGGAAAACAAUUGUGAAUUGUGUGCCCGAUUUUUAAUAAUUUUUGGCUAAAAAAUAACAUAUUUACUGAAAUUAAAAGUUUUUA